AUGAGGCGAUCAGCCUUAAGAUUAGGGAUCGCCCUGGUCUUAUUCAUCGCUAUCGAUGCUUUUCCUAAGAUACGACAGGAGCGCAGCGUCGAUCUCAACGAGCAACACAAACUCGAGUCAGUUUGCAUCUGCGACGAUUUGCGGCCCAAGAGCUACAUCCUCGAAAUCGAACCACUGGUGCAGGAGGCUAAAUUCAAGGGUCGAGUGCGCAUCAAUGUAACUUGGUCCGAGCGAGCGGACAAGGUCAUGCUCCACGUGCAUCCGGACUUGCAGAUUUCACACUCCAAUGUAAGGGUGACGAGGCUCAACGACGUCGUCGACGAGUCCGACAGCAAAAGCCAAGAGGAGGAAGUAAAAGCUCCAGCGCCAUUGAAAAUUCUUAAAAUUGAGCGAAACCCGCGUAAGCUCAUAAUACACCUCGAAAAUAUGUUGAAGAGAAACACGACUUGCGAAGUCGACAUCACUUAUCUCGGCAACAUUACGACUAACGACACAUCGGGAUUAUUCAUGAAUUACUACAUGGAUGCGGCGAAACAAAAACAUACUUACGUCGCUACUUAUCUACGUUUGAACAAUGCACGUAAGAUGUUUCCGAGCUUCGACGAGCUUCAAUACAAGACUAAGUUCCAGCUAAUCCUGACAAGGCCUAAGAACAUGACUGCUCUGUCCAAUACCCCGAUUGAAAAGACUGUACCCGUAGUCGGCGAACAAGAAGUGGUUCAAGACCAUUUCAUGCAAAUACCUGACAUAACUACCUACCAGGUGGCCUUCGUGAUCUCGGAUUUCGAGAGUUUAAGUCCAACAAAGAAGGUCAAUGCGAUAGAUGGGCGAGAAUUGCAGGUUCGAGUCUGGGGUCGUAAGGAGUAUCUUGACGCGCUCAAGGACGUGCCGGACAAAAUUGUAACAAUUGUCAACUACAUGCAGGAUUAUUUCAAUAGUUCGAUCGGGUUGCCGAAACUCGACGUGAUCGCGAUGCCAAUAUACACGGCUAGCAAAGCAUCCGAUAAUUGGGGCUUGAUGAUUUUCAAGGAAUCAGAGCUCAGCAGCCCACUUAUAUGGAACACGGCUUACGAACUAACCUACCAAUGGAUCGGACAGUUAAUUACACCUUUUCGCUGGAUGGAUGCUUCAGAAAAUAAGGGUCUCAAUUCGUUUUUGGCAUCUAAAACCACUAUGGACAUCAAUCCGGACGAGUUGAAAGGUAAAUGGCCCAUGAACAUCUUGUAUUCGUUAUACUACGGUUACGGAAAAACUUUUGGAGCCAAUAGAAUCACCGGAAUCAUUCGCGACGCCAAAUUUGCCAAGAUCGAGCUGGUAUUCCGAAUGUUUUACUACAUUCUCGGCAAAGACAAUUUCAAAACGAGCAUGAGGCACUUUAUCAAGUCGCGGGUGAUGGCUGAACCAGACCUGGAAAAGGGUCGCGACACCAGGACGUUCACGCAAAAGGACAUCUACGACAGCAUCAAUGCAGUGGCGGAAACGCAAAAGUCUCUGCCCGAUAAGUUGACUAUUAACGAAAUAGCAGAUUCGUGGAUCGAUCAGGAGAGGCUACCGCUGGUAACAGUGACGCGCAAUUACGAAAAUGCCACCGUCACUUACAGCCAGAAACCAUACGUGAGAGAAACGCGUAAAUCGCCCAACAGCUGGGAGAGUACCUAUCGUUGGAACAUCCCUCUGGUGAAGCAGACCCAGAGCAAGUGGAACAACGAUGACUACUCGCCAAAGACAUGGUUAUUGACGACGAUGCCGAAAGACGGCCUCAAUGUACCCAGCAGCGAGGACAAAAAUGAAUUCAUCGUUAUUAAUCCGCAAGAAAUCGGACUGUUUCCGGUAAACUACGACUCGCACAAUUGGCAACUGCUCGCCACGUAUCUACAGAGCUCGAACUUCGAGACUAUACCCACCUUGACGCGAGCUAAACUGCUACACGACUCGUGGAAUCUGGCGUACGCCGACGAGCUCUGCUUCAGCAUAGCCCUCAACAUGACUCUGUCGCUGAGGCACGAGAAGAGCCACAUCGUUUGGGAACCGUUCUUCACGAUGAUCGAUCACGUGGGAAAGCGCAUCGAGGGAUCGCCCGUCUUCUCCAAAUUCGAGGAGUACUCGAGAUUAUUGCUCGAGCCCCUGUACACGGAGCCGUGCGAGGUAGCUCCAGCUAACGAGCCGUCCUGGAAGUCUCAUCUUCGUGGCUUGGCUCGUUACUUCUUGUGUCGCGCCGGUUACGAGCCCUGCAUAGCCGAGGCCCGCGAGCAAUACGCCAAAUGGAUGUCCGAUCCCGAACCUGACAAGGGCAAUCCGGUCGCGAACGAGUUUAUCUGCCCGGUAUUCAAAUGGGGCACCGACGAGGAGUGGAACUUUGGCUUGCAGCGAGUCAUCAAUUUCCCAAAGAACAGCUUGGAGAGGAAGCAAAGCGAGCGCACGUAUCUGCUCAAGACUUUGGCCGGAUGUCCGCAGGAUCCCGCCAAGAUUGAGAGACUACUGAACAUCGCGAUAAUGGAGCGAAACGGUAAUCUGAGCGACGCCGAUUGCCAUCUGAUAUUCGCCAUGCUCACCGGCAACGCCAACGGCUACAAGAUGCUGUUCAAGUUCCUACACGACAACUGGGACCAGGUGAAGCAGCGCCUCGAGAACAAGAAGAACCUCUGGAUCAGCAUCAUACACUCGGCCACGGGCUUCUUCAAUACGCAGGAGGGCUACGACCUCGUGACGAAGCUGCACGCCGAGCGCCAGAAGGAGCUCAGCGACUCCGAGGCCAGUCUGGUGCGCGAGGCCAUGGAGAGCAUCAAGCAGGAGACCAAGUGGAGCGAGAAGAACCUGCCAGCCAUCGAUGCCUGGCUCACGGACAGCCUCGCCAGGAAAGUCAGCGUCGAAAAGGACUUGCUGGAUUACUGGAAAGCAGCGCUCGCUUGUCCUAAAAUCAAUAAUAGUACUUCUGCAGCUGUGUAACUUUUAUAUAUUCAUAAAAAAUACCCGUUAUGCGUUACAAUCCGAUUCGUGCAGUACAACAAAUUGUCACUCAUACUUGUCAAGUUAUAAUCGUAUCAAGCAAGAAUAUCCCAGAUUUUUUUGUAAUGAAUUCCUGUAAUUAGCAGCUUAGCUUUCUAUGUUAUCUUGUUAUACUCUUACCACGUACGAAAGGAUCAAGUGAAAUAUUCUUAAACGACGCAUGCAUCGACAUCCACGUAUAUUUGUAUUAAAACAACACGUUAUUUAUUCAUAAUAAUGGCGGCGCUAGUCCGCAGUAAUGAUCUGUACUCAUUCGUUAUUUCGACAACUGUGAUCUUUGACUCACGAGUAAUUAAUCGUUUUUUAAGUUUAGCCACUUUUCCAUGAUAUGUGAUGUAACUCUAGAUGUAUAGAAGUGUAAAUUUGAAAUUCAAGUCAAUAAACGAUUGCGUAAUCCAGACGAACGAA
rnacentral:misc_RNA from 1 species